rnacentral:snoRNA from 1 species
GUUGGUUGAAAAUCACCCCCGGCUUUGGCCGUGGCCGCGGGUGAGAUUCGGCGCCUAGAUCCUCCGAGGGCCUCAGCUCACCACGCGCUGCCCUGUGUGCGGCGGUGAAACCCAGGCCCCGACAGGC